rfam:Triticum aestivum genome assembly, contig: Triticum_aestivum_CS42_TGACv1_scaffold_342920_4DL
CAACUACUCCCUCUGUCCCAAAUUUCUUGUCUUAGAUUUGUCUUGAUACGGGUGUAUCUAAUAGUAAAAUGUGACUUGAUACAUCCGUAUCUAGACAAAUCUAAGACAAGAAUUUUGGGACGGAAGGAGUACUUU